CGUUAGCUAGGCUAGGGUUUAGGGGCUAUGGUUAAAGGGUUAAGGUUAGGGUUAGCUAAAAGGGUUAAGGUUAGGGGAAGGGUUAGCUAACAUGCUAAGUAGUAGCAAUGUUGCUAAUUAGAGAUUCAAACAAGCAAUUUAUGGCUUGCUUGAUGUUCGUGUUAUCCACCCACCUCGAUUAACCAUCCUCCUUUCGUUUUUGCCGUAAGUAACCAUCUGUUUUAUGAAACCAUGCCAAAUUUAACAUAUCAUUCUAAAUGGAGUGCCCCGGUUUUAGGUACAGAAUACGAAAUGCUCUGAGACCAGGUUGCGAGAGCUCCAAAAGGUGAACAAAACCAGCAGGCAGCGCCAAACACACUGGCAUGGAGUUAGAGGCAGGUUGAAAGCCUUCAGGAACAGAAGGUGGCAUUGCAGUCCAGCGUCACUGAAGUUGGCAUUUAUAAGUUGAUGCACACAGUGCAGUUUAACUCCGAACCCAUGCACAUAAAAAGGGUUCUGGAUAGGACUGAAGGAGGAAGAGGAUACAGAGGGCACCUGGACAUGGCUUGAUGGGACUGAUCUGACUCAGGGGUACUGGGAAGACAGAGAGCCCAAUGACCACUAUGGAAUGGAGGACUUUGCGGCCAUCAAAAUAAAUCCCAUGAAGUUCUGGAAUGGUGCUACUUGUACAAGUGAAAUGCAAUCAAGGAAGGCUUAUAAAUGACUGUAAAAUGUCCAUUAUUUAAUUAAGUAAAUACAUACAUUGAAAAUAGGCAUUGGAAUCAAAUGUAAAUUGAAGUUGUACAUAGCAUAAGAUUGUAUCUGUUGAAAUAAAUUGUCAUACUGUAAAGUUAAACACAUAGAAAUGAAUGAGUUCUGUAUCUUUGAUUAUAACGAGUAAUCAAAAACAAACAAGACUACAAAUUGUUGUCACAUCUGCUCCUGCCACGCCCUCUAGUGCUCAUCCGGUGUCUCCUUGACCUGCCAACACUCCCCCAGUGCUCUCUCCCUCUCCGUGUGUGUGCGUGUGUGAUUGUGUGGGCGGAGACAGGUGUGCUGGAGUCAGAGCAGAUCCCCACCAGCUGCAACCUGUUUCAUAAUCAAGACCUCUACAAAUACUCAGUCCUGCCACUUCCUCACUGCCAGAUCGUAAUCUCUGCUCAUUAUGCCUGCUCUGACUCUGGUCCGUCUCCAGUCCAACAUCUCGUCAUCCUGCUACUCUGUCCUGGAUUCCCCACUUUACUAGUCCCUUGGAUUCCCCUCCGGACCUGCUCACCCUGUCUCAACCCCUCUCGCUCCAGCCUCAGGCUCCGCAUUUGUUUUCCAGCAACCUGCCAGAGCUUCCCCUGACCUGCACUCCAUCUCCCCAUGUUUCAAUAAAUACCUUGGUUACUUCA